rnacentral:rRNA from 1 species
UACAGAGGGUGCAAGCGUUAAUCGGAAUUACUGGGCGUAAAGCGCGCGUAGGUGGUUUGUUAAGUUGGAUGUGAAAUCCCCGGGCUCAACCUGGGAACUGCAUUCAAAACUGACAAGCUAGAGUAUGGUAGAGGGUGGUGGAAUUGCCUGUGUAGCGGUGAAAUGCGUAGAUAUCCGGAGGAACACCAAUGGCGAAGGCAACCGCCUGGGCCUGUACUGACGCUGAGACGCGAAAGCGUGGGGAGCAAACAGG